GUGCCAGCCGCCGCGGUAAUACGUAGGUGGCAAGCGUUGUCCGGAUUUAUUGGGUUUAAAGGGUGCGUAGGUGGUCUAUUAAGUCAGUGCUGAAAUAUCCCGGCUUAACCGGGAGGGUGGCAUUGAUACUGAUGGACUUGAGUAAAGUUGAGGUAGGCGGAAUUGACGGUGUAGCGGUGAAAUGCUUAGAUAUCGUCAAGAACACCUAUAGCGAAGGCAGCUUACUAAGCUUUAACUGACGCUGAGGCACGAAAGUGUGGGGAUCAAACAGGAUUAGAUACCCUGGUAGUCCACACUGUAAACGUUGAUGACUCGCUGUUGGCGAUACACAGUCAGCGGCUUAGAGAAAUCGUUAAGUCAUCCACCUGGGGAGUACGCCGGCAACGGUGAAACUCAAAGGAAUUGACGG
rnacentral:rRNA from 1 species